rnacentral:ncRNA from 1 species
UUAAGGUAGAGGUGCGGUAAAGAUGAGUAUCGUCAUUCAGGAAAACCAUUCCGCUUAUGUGACGCAAAAGGCAAUACCGCCGAGAAACAGUUUCUGGUAAAUUCUGUUUCGGGCAUUUGCCGAACAGGCAAAUGACUGUCAUCAUGAUUAUGAUGGGGAGCUAUCA